rnacentral:misc_RNA from 1 species
ACACCUCAACUCUCAUGGUUUGCCAUGAUGAGCUUGAACUUUGGGGGUUUUGCUGGCCUGUGGUCGGCUCCUCUUAAAUGAAUCAGCUCUCCAGUGAUUGGUGGCGCCGCAGGUGUGAUAACUAUCUACGCUUGUGGCUGUCUGCCAGGUAACUUUCCAAAAUGGGGGGUUUGCUGGAGCUUACAAAUGUCUCUCCUCAGCGAAGACAGCUUUUUGAAA